AUUGAACGCUGGCGGCAGGCCUAACACAUGCAAGUCGAGCGAGUGGCGGACGGGUGAGUAAUGUCUGGGAAACUGCCUGAUAGAGGGGGAUAACUACUGGAAACGGUAGCUAAUACCGCAUACCAUCAGAUGAACCCAGAUGGGAUUAGCUAGUGGGUGGGGUAACGGCUCACCUAGGCGACGAUCCCUAGCUGGUCUGAGAGGAUGACCAGCCACACGUGAACUGAGACACGGUCCAGACUCCUACGGGAGGCAGCAGUGGGGAAUAUUGCACAAUGGGCGCAAGCCUGAUGCAGCCAUGCCGCGUGUAUGAAGAAGGCCUUAGGGUUGUAAAGUACUUUCAGCGGGGAGGCGUUACCCGCAGAAGAAGCACCGGCUAACUCCGUGCCAGCAGCCGCGGUAAUAC
rnacentral:rRNA from 1 species